rnacentral:rRNA from 1 species
CCUACGGGUGGCAGCAGUAGGGAAUAUUGCACAAUGGGGGAAACCCUGAUGCAGCAACGCCGCGUGGGGGAUGAAGUUUUUCGGAUUGUAAACUCCUUUUGUUAGGGAAGAUAAUGACGGUAUCUAACGAAUAAGCACCGGCUAACUCCGUGCCAGCAGCCGCGGUAAUACGGAGGGUGCAAGCGUUACUCGGAUUCACUGGGCGUAAAGGGCGCGUAGGCGGGAUAGCAAGUCAGAUGUGAAAACCUAGGGCUUAACCAUAGAACUGCAUUUGAAACUGGUAUUCUAGAGUAUGGGAGAGGUAGGUGGAAUUCUUGGUGUAGGGGUAAAAUCCGUAGAGACCAAGAGGAAUACUAAUGGCGAAGGCGACCUGCUAGAACAUAACUGACGUUGAUGCGCGAAAGCGUGGGGAGCAAACAGGAUUAGAUACCCGUGUAGUC